CACGUAGGGUGCGAGCGUUGUCCGGAAUUAUUGGGCGUAAAGAGCUCGUAGGCGGUGUGUCGCGUCGGCCGUGAAAACCUGCAGCUUAACUGUGGGCUUGCGGUCGAUACGGGCAUCACUGGAGUUCGGCAGGGGAGACUGGAAUUCCUGGUGUAGCGGUGAAAUGCGUAGAUAUCGGAAGGAACACCAGUGGCGAAAGCGGGUCUCUGGGCCGAUACUGACGCUGAGGAGCGAAAGCGUGGGGAGCGAACAGG
rnacentral:rRNA from 1 species